rnacentral:lncRNA from 1 species
UGUUUAGUAGUUUAAGUUUAUCAUAUUGUGUCGUUGAAUUCCACUUUGAGAUGGGUUGAAUAUUUUUCGUUAUAGUUCUGUUUCUGUGUGACCUUAGGUGUUCGUUUUGCUGCUCCUAAAUUUUUGUGACCGAGAUUUGCUUAUAUUUUUGUUGGGAUAAGCAAUAUAAGCGAAUAUUUUGUAUGUUCUCGAAAGCUUUCUCUCUUAGUUUGUUUUGUUUAAGCUAAGACAUAAUGUUUGCUUACCGAUCUUAAAUCUUGUGUUCACUGGAGUAUUGUUGGUUUGAUGUGUAGAACUUAAUAGGUCUGUUUCUUCUACAGUUUAAGCAUAAGUUUUCUUGAUUAAGAUAUAAUUACUUGUGACUUAAUUUUUCUUUUGAGUCAAGAGUAGAGUUGGUUAUGAAAUUUGCUCUCUCUCUAGUUCAUGAAAA